CUCUUCAGUUGGGGUGUAGGUUUUUGCCAUCUUACUUCACAGGAGUCAUUCUGCGGCACAGUCUUGGCAUGUAGUUUGUCCUACUGAAUCAACAGGCAGAGUCAUGACUUUGAAAGCUCAGCAGACCCCAACACGUGUCAUUCCUUAUGCCUUUGAUUUGCAGAGUUGUGUUCAGAUGAGCCUGGGGACCACGAAAUAAAGGUGGAGAUGGUAUGUCAGGCAGAUGUGCACCUUGAGCCACACCCUCUUUGCUCUGCAGCCUGGCAGAAGAAGGAGGAGCCAUGGCCUGGCAAGCUGAAGGAGGAGAGGAACCGUGCGAAGGCUGGCAGACACCACUGCUGCAGGCACGGGAGGAGCCCUCGCGAAGGUGCCAGCUUGGGCAUUUGAUGAUCUGGUCUUGGGGGAGCUUUUUGACUUGGCCUUGUACAUCAUUUGCGAGAGCAACUGUUCUAAUGACCCCGCUGAGAGAGGUUUGUGUUAUUUUUUCUUUUUCAUAUGUGAAUGUAGCAAUGUAGCAAGCAGAAUAGCCAUAAACCAGGCUUGACAGUCCCAUUCUGUA